AGGACUAACGCUGGCGGCGUGCCUAACACAUGCAAGUCGAACGGGGUAGCAAUACCCAGUGGCAGACGGGUGAGUAACACGUAGAUAACGUGCCCUUUAGUCGGGGAUAGCCAUUCGAAAGGGUGGGUAAUACCGGGUGAGAUCGCCUUGGGGCAUCCCAGAGCGAUGAAAGCAGUAAUGCGCUAGAGGAGCGGUCUGCGGCCUAUUAGCUUGUUGGUGAGGUAAUGGCUCACCAAGGCGACGAUGGGUAGCCGGUCUGAGAGGAUGAUCGGCCACACUGGCACUGAGAUACGGGCCAGACUCCUACGGGAGGCAGCAGUGAGGAAUUUUGCGCAAUGGGCGAAAGCCUGACGCAGCGACGCCGCGUGAGGGAUGAAGGUCUUCGGAUUGUAAACCUCUGUCAGUGGGGAAGAGACAGGACGGUACCCGCUGAGGAAGCUUCGGCUAACUACGCGCCAGCAGCCGCGGU
rnacentral:rRNA from 1 species